rnacentral:piRNA from 1 species
CCCUCAGCCUAGAGACUGCUGCCCUG